GGGGGCGACAUGGCUUCGACGCCGGUGACAACCUCCUAGGUGCAUGCCGAGAGCGUGAUGUAUCUCGUAAAUCCAACAUCACGAAUGAAUAGUCGCAAACGACGACAACUACGCUCAGGGCGCGCUGGCAGCCUAACAGCUGUUAGCUUCUAGUCCGGCCCCAAAGUGAUGUGCCCAUUCAUCACGGCGGGGAUAUGAGCGCAAGCUGAUGGGAUCGCGGUUGACGGUGUCCUCUCGUCAAACGCUAAAUCUUAGAGGAAUCGCGUUGGCUGGAUCCUGCCCGUUGGAGCCAGUCGCGUUAAAUCAAAAAACGGACCUAAGCAUGUAGAGCCGACGAGCGAGUGCUGGCGGACGCGGGUUCAAUUCCCGCCGCCUCCACCA
rnacentral:tmRNA from 1 species